GCUCCACAGGAAGUCUCCUCUCAGGAUCAAAUUCUCUCUCCUCAGGAAGUCUCCCUCAGGAUUGGGUCAUUUGUCCUCAGGUGGUCUCCCUCAGGAUCACGUCGUCUCUCCUCAGGUAGUCCUCCUCAGAUCAGGUCAUCUCUCUUCAGGAAUGAUUUUCUCCCUGUGUUUUCUGUCUUUCUGGAAGUUAUGGAAGAACUGUUUUUGGCCACUUGGAUCGUUCUUCUAAUUUCAUUAUGUUUUUUUCUACCUUGAUCUUUCUGAUAUGCUUUCUAGGAAUUUUCUUUAACUUUGUAUUUCAACACUUCUGUUGUUUUUUUGCUUUGGUCAGUAUAUUGUAACUAUCCAAGAGCUCUUUUUUGUUGUUGUUUUUAAUAGCACCCUUUUUCUAUGGAUACGAUAAUGUAUUAUCUUUUGAAGAUAUUAGUAAUAGUUGUGGGUUUUUUCUUCUUGUUUUUUAAGUUUCCUUCUUGCAUAAUGCUCAUCUCCUCCAGCUUUCGGCCUCUGAGGCUGGUUUUGGUCUGUCUCAAUUACAGGCUUCCCACGAACACUGGUGCGGCUCAGCUGUGCCCUCGUGUUUAGGACUAGGACACCGAGGGUAGGGGACACCGGGUGAUGGGCCAACUUGGUCUUUGUCUUCACCUGAAGGUGUUCUCCUGCCUUCAGUGUUCUAGCGCUUUCCUCCCAGGCUGGUUGUUUUCCGUCGAGCCACCUUGCCCCUCUGCCCCGCGCCCCCUUCCCUGUCCCCGGCCAGGUAGCCGUGGGGAGGGCCCGGGAUCUCAGCCUUCCCGAGCCCUGUGGGCUCCCGAGUGCGGCUCAGUGCCACAUCCAGCCCCCUGGCGUCUGCCAGUUCAGUUCUCACUCAUCCAUUUGCUUUGCACUUCUAGAAUCCAGCUGCUGCUGCUGCGCUCCAUCGGUCACCACCUGCCGGGCCUGUGAGGGCUCGGAGCGCGGCACGCUUCCCGUCCGCCAUCUUUCACCUGAUGGGUCCUGGCCUGUUUUCUGCGUGCUUUAACUUAACUGAGAUGAUACUCUGUACCCUGCUUUUAAAAAAGCCUCCAUCCUAACAGUGUAACAUCUCAUGCUUAUAAAAACUACGAAAACGUU